CUACGGGAGGCACCAGUGGGGAAUAUUGGACAAUGGGGGAAACCCUGAUCCAGCAAUGCCGCGUGUGUGAAGAAGGCCUGCGGGUUGUAAAGCACUUUCGGUUGGGAGGACUGCUUCUAGCACUAAUAUUGUUGGAAGUUGACGUUACCUUCAGAAGAAGCACCGGCUAACUCCGUGCCAGCAGCCGCGGUAAUACGGAGGGUGCAGGCGUUAAUCGGAAUUACUGGGCGUAAAGCGCGCGUAGGCGGCUAGAUCAGUCGGGUGUGAAAGCCCCGGGCUUAACCUGGGAACUGCAUCCGAUACUGUCUAGCUUGAGUACAGGAGAGGAGAGUGGAAUUCCACAUGUAGCGGUGAAAUGCGUAGAUAUGUGGAGGAACACCAGUGGCGAAGGCAGCUCUCUGGCCUGAUACUGACGCUGAGGUGCGAAAGCGUGGGGAGCAAACAGGAUUAGAUACCCGGGUAGUC
rnacentral:rRNA from 1 species